UACAGAGGUCCCAAGCGUUGUUCGGAUUCACUGGGCGUAAAGGGUGCGUAGGUGGCCGGGUAAGUCUGACGUGAAAUCUCCGAGCCUAACUCGGAAACUGCAUCGGAUACUAUCCGGCUUGAGGAUUGGAGGGGGGACUGGAAUACUUGGUGUAGUAGUGAAAUGCGUAGAUAUCAAGUGGAACACCAGUGGCGAAGGCGAGUCCCUGGACAAUUCCUGACACUGAGGCACGAAAGCUAGGGGAGCAAACAGG
rnacentral:rRNA from 1 species